GCCGGGGUGGCGGAGUCUGGCUAACGCGCGGGCCUCGAGAGCCCGUGACCUAACGGUCAUGUGGGUUCAAAUCCCACCCCCGGCG
rnacentral:tRNA from 1 species